CACGUCAGCGCAAUUUGCUGACGUGGACACAGAUCGUGCUUACGUGGAUGCGAUUUGUUGCCACGUCAGCAAAUCGUGCCGACGUGG
rfam:Gossypium raimondii Chr13_contig_1162, whole genome shotgun sequence.